CAAAGAUCUGUACAAGGAUGUCAUGAUGGAGGAUCACCAGCCCCUCACAUCGCCAGUUAAGGAAGAGACAAGAACACCGGAGAGAUGUCAGAGUCCUCUUUUUUCACAGGAUGUUUCAGAAGAACAUCACAAUGUCCCACGGGAUGAUCAGCUUGUGAAUCCGGAUGAAGAUCUGAACAAUAUUAAUCCU